GACGAACGCUGGCGGCGUGCUUAACACAUGCAAGUCGAACGAUGAUGCUGGAGCUUGCUCCAGUUGAUUAGUGGCGAACGGGUGAGUAACACGUGAGCAAUCUGCCCUUGACUCUGGGAUAACUGCGGGAAACUGUAGCUAAUACCGGAUACUUUCACCGGAAGGCAUCUUCUGGUGAUGAAAGAAUUUCGGUCAGGGAUGAGCUCGCGGCCUAUCAGCUUGUUGGUGAGGUAACGGCUCACCAAGGCGACGACGGGUAGCCGGCCUGAGAGGGUGACCGGCCACACUGGGACUGAGACACGGCCCAGACUCCUACGGGAGGCAGCAGUGGGGAAUAUUGCACAAUGGGCGCAAGCCUGAUGCAGCAACGCCGCGUGAGGGAUGAAGGCCUUCGGGUUGUAAACCUCUUUUAGCAGGGAAGAAGCGAAAGUGACGGUACCUGCAGAAAAAGCACCGGCUAACUACGUGCCAGCAGCCGCCGCGG
rnacentral:rRNA from 1 species